rnacentral:rRNA from 1 species
GAUGGGAACUCAGGAGGGACUGCCCGGGAGAACCGGGAGGAAGGCGGGGAGGACGUCAAAUCAGCACGGCCCCUACGUCCGGGGCGACACACGUGUUACAAUGGCAGGUACAGCGGGAAGCCGGCUGGCGACAGGGCGCCGAACCCGAAAACCUGUCUCAGUUCGGAUAGGAGUCUGCAACCCGACUCCAAGAAGCCGGAUUCGCUAGUAAUUGCGCAUCACCCCCGGCACGGUGAAUACGUUCCCGGGCCUGGUACACACCGCCCGGCAAGCCAUGGAAGCCGGGAGUGCCUGAAGAACGUGACCGCAAGGAGCGUCCUAAGGCUAAUACCGGUGACUGGGGCUAA